rnacentral:rRNA from 1 species
GCGCAGCAGUCGCGAAACCUUCGCAAUGCGGGAAACCGCGACGAGGGGACUCCCAGUGCCUACGCUCAGCGUAGGCUGUUCCCGAGCCUAGAAAGCUCGGGGAGUAAGGGCUGGGUAAGACGGGUGCCAGCCGCCGCGGUAAUACCCGCAGCCCGAGUGGUGGCCACUAUUAUUGGGCCUAAAGCGUCCGUAGCCGGCCCGGUAAAUGCCUGGGUAAAUCGUGAGGCCUAACCUCACGAAUUCCGGGUAGACUGCCGGGCUAGGGGACCGGAGGAGGGAGAGGGUACUCCAGGGGUAGGGGUGAAAUCCUGUAAUCCCUGGAGGACCACCGGUGGCGAAGGCGCUCUCCUAGGACGGGUCCGACGGUGAGGGACGAAAGCCAGGGGAGCGAACCGGAUUAGAUACCCCGGUAGU